CAGAGAGAGGCGUUGAGUGGCGCGUUGUUCGAAUCGGUACAGUACCCCCGAGUGACGGCUGUGCUUAGUUGAUUGCAUGCUCUCCCGCUUAUCGCGAUGCGGAACAGGAUCGCGGUCCGGUACACGUGGCCUGUCGCGUUGGCUCCGCGUGGAAGCGCCUUUGCCGAGGUCGCAGUUGCGAGAGUGGUGGUCGCGCAACUAUCGGCCGCUCACUUCCACUCGGGCGGCCGACCUGUGUAGGCAGCAUGGUUCUGUACGCGGUCCUGAUUUUCGUGCCCGUUGCCACGAUCGGCUUUUUCACAUACAAGCUCAUUCAGAGCUUGCGUGACAAAGAGAAGAGGAAAGAAGACAAAAAGAAGCAGAAGCAGCAAAAGAAGAAGGCCAAGUGAGAAGACGAGGACGCUUGCCCAACUUUCACGUGCUCCCCCCCAGUGCAAAGCAGGGCCUAACAUAUCACCACUCACAGAUGGGGGGAGGGGCGAACAGCAAUCUUCCAAAAGCGACCUUGCUACCGCCGCGGCAUCAAUGAUGCUUCGCAACGGUGGCAGCGUCCUUCUCGGAGUUGACUCGAGACAAUCCGGGCACCACCAAAGCCAUUCUCUGUUGUUCCUACAUGUACAUUCCAUUGGAUGAAGGCUCUCUCUUGUUCUUCCUCGCUUCGGAAAAAAAAAAAAGACUUGUGCCCGGUCGAUGCAAAUGUUCUAGGUGUUUUUAACCAUUUUUUCAUGUAUAUUUACAAAAUGGAGAGGUUAGACAAGUCUGGACUAUAGAAAAACUGUCAUAUUUAUUGUAUUUACAGAAUAAAAAAAAAAAGACAGUUCUCGUCACAACC